UACUUUAUGGAUCUGAAAAUAUUAGCUCACCUGAAGCUAAACUCACUUAAAUGUUGGUGAACAAACACAAUACUUUUCCUGUUUCUUGCAUAUUCAGAAACCUGCAUGUUCUCAAGAGAAGAAAUCUAAAAUGCACUUUCAAAAGAUGUGUCUGUGCGAACUGUUUGCAUAGGGCACUAAGCCAGGGUUAUUUCUAGCACAGUUUGAUUCCCCAGAAAGAUAAUGAGGGAGCCGGCUGGGAAGUUUGCAAGCAGAAGGGGUGGAGGAGAGCCCUCAGCUGGCACGCAUGAAGUAUUGACUGGAUGCAUCUGGAAGAAGCAGCAGAAAAAUGAAAAAACCCAGCGUGACACCUACCCGGCAUAGCAUCCAGCGUGGCUUGAGUUGACGGUCUAGCGCAUCCAGGCAGCCCCGACGGAACGGCACCUACACCGCCGGCGUCGGUUGAUUGCGCGCAUGGCUCCCUCACGUGAUGGGGCAGCUGCCGGAGUGACUGCAGACGGGGGAACACGACCUUGAAAGAGACGCUGGGUCUGACAAGUUCUAGUGUUAGCGGACGAAGGGGAACUGACGGAUAGAGUUAGGUCACGGGGUUUGCUGUUGUUCGGGCCGGCUGUGAGGAAACGGCAGGGGAUCCGGAGGGUGGAGUUUAUCACAGGGUGGGGCGGACGGGUGGAGCAUGGGCGGGGUUUCCUUAUAUGGCUUGUUUAGGGUGUGUGUGGUGGGCGUAACGCGAUGUGACAUUUAACGCGCGGGGACGGAGCCUUCCCAGGGCAAACUUUGUUUUCCUACAACGUGCAAUAAACCUUGUUGGAUCCUGGAGCGUUCCUGUUGUG